rnacentral:rRNA from 1 species
UGGGACACCACCGGCGGACGGCUCAGUAACACGUCGGUAACCUACCCUCGGGAGGGGGAUAACCCCGGGAAACUGGGGCUAAUCCCCCAUAGGUGUGGGGUACUGGAAGGUCCCCACACCGAAAGGGGCUUCGUGCCCGCCCGAGGAUGGGCCGGCGGCCGAUUAGGUAGUUGGUGGGGUAACGGCCCACCAAGCCGAAGAUCGGUACGGGCCAUGAGAGUGGGAGCCCGGAGAUGGACACUGAGACACGGGUCCAGGCCCUACGGGGCGCAGCAGGCGCGAAACCUCCGCAAUGCGGGAAACCGCGACGGGGGGACCCCCAGUGCCGUGGCAACGCCACGGCUUUUCCGGAGUGUAAAAAGCUCCGGGAAUAAGGGCUGGGCAAGGCCGGUGGCAGCCGCCGCGGUAAUACCGGCGGCCCGAGUGGUGGCCGCUAUUAUUGGGCCUAAAGCGUCCGUAGCCGGGCCCGUAAGUCCCUGGCGAAAUCCCACGGCUCAACCGUGGGGCUUGCUGGGGAUACUGCGGGCCUUGGGACCGGGAGAGGCGGGGGGUACCCCUGGGGUAGGGGUGAAAUCCUAUAAUCCCAGGGGGACCGCCAGUGGCGAAGGCGCCCCGCUGGAACGGGUCCGACGGUGAGGGACGAAGGCCAG